GACGAACCGUGCGAACGUUGUUCGGAAUUACUGGGCGUAAAGGGCGAGUAGGCGGCCUUCUAAGUCAGACGUGAAAUCCCCCGGCUUAACCUGGGAACUGCGUCUGAUACUGGGAGGCUCGAGUAUGGGAGAGGGAUGUAGAAUUCCAGGUGUAGCGGUGAAAUGCGUAGAUAUCUGGAGGAAUACCGGUGGCGAAGGCGGCAUCCUGGACCAUUACUGACGCUGAAUCGCGAAAGCUAGGGGAGCAAACGGG
rnacentral:rRNA from 1 species